CCUACGGGAGGCAGCAGUGAGGAAUAUUGGUCAAUGGGCUUACGCCUGAACCAGCCAAGUCGCGUGAGGGAAGACUGCCCUAUGGGUUGUAAACCUCUUUUGUCAGGGAGCAACGCCGGCUACGUGUAGCCGGACUGAGAGUACCUGAAGAAAAAGCAUCGGCUAACUCCGUGCCAGCAGCCGCGGUAAUACGGAGGAUGCGAGCGUUAUCCGGAUUUAUUGGGUUUAAAGGGUGCGUAGGCGGAAUGCCAAGUCAGCGGUAAAAUCGCGGGGCUCAACCUCGCUCCGCCGUUGAAACUGGCAAACUGGAGUGUGUGAGAGGAUAGUGGAAUUCCAGGUGUAGGAGUGAAAUCCGUAGAUAUCUGGAGGAACAUCAGUGGCGAAGGCGACUAUCUGGCACAUAACUGACGCUGAGGAGCGAAAGCGUGGGUAGCAAACAGGAUUAGAUACCCCUGUAGUC
rnacentral:rRNA from 1 species